rnacentral:rRNA from 1 species
AUUGAACGCUGGCGGUAUGCCUUACACAUGCAAGUCGAACGGUAACAGGUCUUCGGAUGCUGACGAGUGGCGAACGGGUGAGUAAUACAUCGGAACGUGCCCGAGGGUGGGGGAUAACGAGGCGAAAGCUUUGCUAAUACCGCAUACGAUCUCAGGAUGAAAGCAGGGGACCGCAAGGCCUUGCGCUCACGGAGCGGCCGAUGGCAGAUUAGGUAGUUGGUGGGAUAAAAGCUUACCAAGCCGACGAUCUGUAGCUGGUCUGAGAGGACGACCAGCCAGACUGGGACUGAGACACGGCCCAGACUCCUACGGGAGGCAGCAGUGGGGAAUUUUGGACAAUGGGCGCAAGCCUGAUCCAGCCAUGCCGCGUGCAGGAUGAAGGCCUUCGGGUUGUAAACUGCUUUUGUACGGAACGAAAAGACUCCUUCUAAUAAAGGGGGUCCAUGACGGUACCGUAGGAAUAAGCACCGGCUAACUACGUGCCAGCCGCCGCAGUAACAC